GGCCUUAGAGCAGCUGCCAUCAGGAGAAAACCCGGUCCCCAGCUCUACAGGGUCCAGCAUGUUGGAGCGAGGAGCUAAUUCUUGGUUUUAUUCCUGUGAAACAAAGACACAGAGGGAGAAGGAGAAGAGGAGUCAGCAGCUCGCAGAAAUACUGAGGAGGUACAAAGAGCAGAUGCUGAAGGACUUCCACCUGGCCCGGGUGCUUCCCUACUUGGUGUACGAUGGCGUGUUCUCCCUAAAAGAGUACAGAGAGAUCCUCUCGCAGGACCGCUACUCGGAGAGAGUGGAGCGCUUUCUCCUGAAGCUCUUCUCCAAAGGUCCGAAUGCUUUCUGUGCCUUCUGCGCUCAUCUGGAGGAACUCAGCCCUUACCUGCUCACCUCCCUUUUCCUUUAUUACCAAGAACAAACCCAACGGGUCCUACAAGAUGUGCUUGUGGCAGAAGAGGCAGCGAGAAACAGGAACGGAGCUCAGUGGGACUCCAGCACUGUCUCUGACCCGGAGGAGGACCGAGAACAAAGGGCUCGAUUAUUUAACAAGGAAGAAGUGAAUCAGGGAUUGUGCCUCAGAACUGCCAACAGAGAUCCAGAUAACAAGUGGCUUGUGCUGACCCAGGUCAUCCAUUGCCAGCUGCCUCUGGGAGACAUCAGGAACAUCAACAGUUCUCCAAACUGCCUGCCUCUGUCUGCAGCUGGCUCAGCUGUGUGCUCACCACCAACAGUCUGUCCAAAGACUCCCUGCAUGAGAGAUGCCCGUGCCCCACACAGCAUCACUGCCUGCCUGGCUCUGCAGGCUGAACUCUCCUCCAUCCAGAAACUAGCAAAUACUUUCCACAUGUCAGCAAGGAACAUGAUAAGUCUAUACCCACUUGCUACUAACCAUAAAGGACCACUACACUUGGAAAAGUCUUUUGAAAAUAGUUCCAAUAGAAUCAAACUAAUG
rnacentral:lncRNA from 1 species